GUGUUGUAUGAAAGGAGAGAAGGUUAGCACUCCCCUUGACAAGGAUGGAGAGGCCCUCGGGCCUGAAAACACACAUACGGUUAAGGCAUUGCCGCCUGCUUCGUGGCAUCUAACCACUGUUUUUU
rnacentral:ncRNA from 1 species